CACAUUGUUAUGUUAGCCACAUGUUUUUAAUUAUUCUGACUUUUAUGUGCCUAUAAAAUAAGCAAUAAAAUCUUUGGUAGUUUAUGUAACAAUGUGGUUAUUACUAUGGGCAAUGACGCCUGUAACAUGUGAGCCAGUAAACAAAACGAUAGAACGAACAGCAAGCCUUGUCGUACUCCCACCAUUAGUUCUGGGAUAUGACGAUCUUUACGAUGAAGAUAAUUCAAGACCAAGAGAAAAGCACCCAUUCCAUCAAGAACAUCAACAAAAUGAAGAAGAAGAAGAAGCAGAAAACGUUAAUAACGAAAGAGAAGACAUGCGCGGUAGGUUAGAAAUAAGAAAGCCUUUGCACUUUCCAAGGAGCAAUGCUAAGUCCACUACUACUUGUCCUUGCAAAGGCGAGAUAAAAAGAUUGCAUUAGGACUCUGAAUCACGAUACUUAUUUGUGUUGAAAUUGAAUUUUAUUUUUAAGUGCACUUAAGACAAAUUAAAACAUGUAAUAA